GUAUUUUGACAAAUAACCAUCAGAUUAUCAUCAAAGGUUCGGUUACUAUAGGUAUUUGUUAUUCUAUAUAGUAUAUAUCAUAAGUUUUAGUCCAUCAAGUAUAGCAAGAUUAUCAUAGAAGCCAUGCAUAGAGGUAGGAAGAUGAAUCCUCCAUUUUAAGACCUCUUUUGUAUUCACCAAUGCACAAGUUGUCAUAAGACAACAAGGAUGGUCAUGAAUGGAUUAUUACAGAAAUGAAAUAUACUAACUAACUAACUAAGAAGAAACAUCAAGUGAUGUAUGGAUUUGUAAGUAGGAUAGCCCAAGCUAUCCAAAUAAUCACACACAUUCAAGUUCAAGACUUGUUCAUCACUUGUGGGUUAAAACCCUUUUAAAACAGAAAGUUUUUGAGGAUUAAACCUCUGGAUUUACAUGUUACAACCUUGCUUUUAAGCACACAUAAUCAUAGUCUUGAUUAGUGGCAUAAGGACAAAGGAAUGUAUGAAGAAAUCAUAAGUUAAGUAUGUUUAUCAAAGUGUUUGCAUAAAACAGAAAGUUUUUUGCACUUUUAACCUUAUUAUGGUGAUGUUCCAGCCUUGGUUUUCCAUGGAAACAUACCUAAGGUUGUUCCAAGUGCUAAGAAGAAAGAAUGAAUGAAAAAGAUGGAAGAUAAGGUGUUUGAGAGUGAAAGUGAGGUGUUUGCAAAGUGGAAAAUGUGUGGGGAUGGGUUGGGUUUUAUAGGAAAUGAUUAGGGUUAGUGGUUGAGGGUAAUCAAUGCAAGAAACACACCAAACUAGCACAAAAUCGCCCAAUGGUUAAGGCUGUUUGAAAAUUUUUGCGGAUUUGACGUCCUCGCGGGGCGCGAAUGGGAUGUGGGUGCGGGUGCAUCCCGCGAGCCACUUGGCUGAUGGAUUUAUUUGGUUAUUUUUACAUUUUUGGUCCCUAUAGUUCCAUAUUGUUAUGUUUCAAGGUGUUUUAAGCAUAAAAUGCAAAUUGUAAGGGUAUCUUAUGUAAUUAAAGCAUAAAGUGAGUAUAAAAUAAGCAUGAAUAGGUACAUGAGUCGAGAAUUAGUAUUGUAUAAGUAUGAAUUUAGCACGUGAGUCAAGUAUUUGUAAGUUUAACAUAUUUUGCAUGAAUUACGAAUAGGUUACCACAUGUAAAAUAAAUUUAAAUGUAUGAACGUGUAAGAAUAUGUAGAAUGUGAAUUUAACGAAAUACGAAUUUUGU
rnacentral:lncRNA from 1 species